GCCGGGCGCGGUGGCACACGCCUGUCAUCCCAGAGGCUUGGGAGGCUGAGGCAGGCGGAUCGCCAGUUCCAAGACAGCCUCAGCAAAAGUGAGGCCCUGAGCAGCUCAGUGAGACCCCGUUUCUA
rnacentral:sRNA from 1 species